AGAGUUUGAUCCUGGCUCAGGAUGAACGCUGGCGGCGUGGAUAAGGCAUGCAAGUCGAACGGAUCUUUUUUUGAAGAAGUUGAGAUUACAUCAAGAUGACGGAUUUUAAAGAUUAGUGGCAGACGAGGUAGUAACACGUGGGUACAUCCCCUCUAGUCGCGAAUAAUCCAUCGAAAGGUGGACUAAUACGCGAUGGUCUCGCGAGAGUAAAGAUUUAUCGCUAGAGGAAUGGCCUGCGGGGUAUCAGGUAGUUGGUAGGGUAAUGGCCUACCAAGCCGAUGACGCCUAGGGGAGCUGAGAGGCUGACCCCCACCGAUGGGACUGAGACACGGCCCAUACACCUACGGGUGGCUGCAGUCGAGAAUCUUCCACAAUGGACGAAAGUCUGAUGGAGCGACGCCGCGUGAUUGAUGAAGUCCUUCGGGACGUAAAGAUCUUUUAUGAGGGAAGAAGUUUAUUGACGGUACCUCAUGAAUAAGGGGCUCCUAAUCUCGUGCCAGCAGGAGCGGUAAUACGAGAGCCCCGAGCGUUAUCCGGAAUUAUUGGGCGUAAAGGGUGCGUAGGCGGUUGUGUUAGUCGAGUGUUAAAGGCCCGAGCUUAACUUGGGAAAUGCAUUCGAAACGGCACGACUUAGAAUGAAGAAGAGGUGUGCGGAACUCAUGGUGUAGGGGUGAAAUCCGUUGAUAUCAUGGGGAACACCAAAUGCGAAAGCAGCACACUGGUCUUUUAUUGACGCUGAGGCACGAAAGCGUGGGUAGCGAAUGGGGAUUAGAUACCCCAGUAGUCCACGCCCUAAACGAUGUUCUCUCGCUUUUCGGAGUAUCGACCCUCUGAGAGGCUUAGCUAACGCGAUAAGAGAACCGCCUGGGAAGUACGAUCGCAAGAUUAAAACUCAAAGGAAUUGACGG
rnacentral:rRNA from 1 species